rnacentral:misc_RNA from 1 species
CAGCACUAGAGGAAUUGAGGCAGAAG